UUAGUUCAUUUGAUAUUAAUGUAACAGGAAGAAGAGAAAAAUAGCAACCAUCAUUUUUCCGGAUUUCAAAUAAAUUUCUUUCAAAUCAAAUUUUAAAAUAGAAUGUUCCAUGUGAAUAUGAAUCAAAUGUUGUUUUCGUGACAUGUUUUGGAACUUUUUAAAUUACUCGUUUAUUUAUGAAAGACUCGGUUUCCAACAAUUUAUCUUUUUGUCCUCAGAGCUCUCGAAGCAGAAAACUCGAAACUUUGUGAAAAACAGAAGUGGAAUUCGAACAAAGUCGCGAAUAUUUUGCGACUCAACUUGAUGUGGUUCAGGAUAAACUGAACAGAACAACACAAGCCUUGAAAUUAAUGCAGCAGAGUUUCAGAAUGCAGCAGAGUUUCAGAAUGCAGCAGAGUUUCAGAAUGCAUCAGAGUCUGAAUUCCAGUCCGUCAACGAUGAAUUGGAACAAAGAGUUCUGAAGGUCAAUCAUCUUGAAGACGAGAAGUCACAUCUGACGUCGGACGUUCAUGAAUCGACAAACAGAUUAACGGAAACUCUAAGUGCUUUACAGAGAACUCAGAAAUAAAAUGUAUGUGGUGGCAUCUAUGUAGGAUGGGGAAUUCCCUUGUGGGAGGAAGAUAUCAUAGUAUUAUUGUGAAAGUCUUUUUUUGGUUUAUCGAAUAUAUAGGGUGUCCA